rnacentral:tRNA from 1 species
UCCGCCAUAGCUCAGUUGGUAGUAGCGAAUGACUGUUAAUCAUGAUGUCGUAGGUUCGAGUCCUACUGGCGGAG